AGUGAACGCUGGCGGUAGGCCUAACACAUGCAAGUCGAACGGCAGCACAGUAAGAGCUUGCUCUUACGGGUGGCGAGUGGCGGACGGGUGAGGAAUACAUCGGAUUCUACUUUUUCGUGGGGGAUAACGUAGGGAAACUUACGCUAAUACCGCAUGCGACCUACGGGUGAAAGCAGGGGAUCUUCGGACCUUGCGCGAUUGAAUGAGCCGAUGUCGGAUUAGCUAGUUGGCGGGGUAAAGGCCCACCAAGGCGACGAUCCGUAGCUGGUCUGAGAGGAUGAUCAGCCACACUGGAACUGAGACACGGUCCAGACUCCUACGGGAGGCAGCAGUGGGGAAUAUUGGACAAUGGGCGCAAGCCUGAUCCAGCCAUACCGCGUGGGUGAAGAAGGCCUUCGGGUUGUAAAGCCCUUUUGUUGGGAAAGAAAAGCAGCAGGUUAAUACCCCGCUGUUCUGACGGUACCCAAAGAAUAAGCACCGGCUAACUUCGUG
rnacentral:rRNA from 1 species